ACAUCCAGAGAAUUUAGCAGAGAUGCUUUAGUGCCUUCGGGAACUCUGAGACAGGUGCUGCAUGGCUGUCGUCAGCUCGUGUUGUGAAAUGUUGGGUUAAGUCCCGNAACGAGCGCAACCCUUAUCCUUUGUUGCCAGCACGUAAUGGUGGGAACUCAAAGGAGACUGCCGGUGAUAAACCGGAGGAAGGUGGGGAUGACGUCAAGUCAUCAUGGCCCUUACGAGUAGGGCUACACACGUGCUACAAUGGCGCAUACAAAGAGAAGCGACCUCGCGAGAGCAAGCGGACCUCAUAAAGUGCGUCGUAGUCCGGAUUGGAGUCUGCAACUCGACUCCAUGAAGUCGGAAUCGCUAGUAAUCGUAAAUCAGAAUGUUACGGUGAAUACGUUCCCGGGCCUUGUACACACCGCCCGUCACACCAUGGAAGUGGGUUGCAAAAGAAGUAGAUAGCUUAACCUUCGGGAGGGCGUUUACCACUUUGUGAUUCAUGACUGGGGUGAAGUCGUAACAAGGUAAGCGUAGUGCU
rnacentral:rRNA from 1 species